UUCAUUUAGACAGCAGGACGGUGGCCAUGGAAGUCGGAAUCCGCUAAGGAGUGUGUAACAACUCACCUGCCGAAUGGAUUAGCCCGGAAAAUGGAUGGCGCUGAAGCGCACCACUUAUACACGACCACCGGGGCAAGUGCGAAGCCCCGGUGAGUAGGAGGGCGUGGGGUUCGUGGCGAAGCGUUGGGCGUGAGCCCGCGUCGAACGGACUCUAGUGCAGAUCUUGGUGGUAGUAGCAAAUAUUCAAGUGAGAACCUUGAAGACUGAAGUGGGGAAAGGUUCCGUGUGAACAGCAAUUGGACACGGGUUAGUCGAUCCUAAGAGAUAGGGAAAUUCCGUACAAGGUGGCACAUUUUCUUGUGUGCCCGCCCAUCGAAAGGGAACCGGGUUAAUAUUCCCGGACCAGCGCAGAGAUAUUAUACAUGCGGCAACGCAACCGAAGGCGGAGACGUCAGCGGGGACCCCGGAAAGAGUUGUCUUUUCUUUUUAACAGCCUAUUGCCCCGGAAUCGGUUUAGCCGGAGAGGGGGCUACAUGGCUGGCAGAGCGCGGCACUUUCCGCCGCGUCCGGUGCGUCCUCGUCGGCCCUUGAAAAUCCGCCGGAGAGAAUGAUUCUUCUGGCUGGUCGUACUCAUAACCGCAUCAGGUCUCCAAGGUGAACAGCCUCUAGUCGAUAGAGCAAUGUAGGUAAAGGAAGUCGGCAAAAUGGUUCCGCAACCUCGGGAGAAGGAAUGGCUCUGAAGGCUGGGCGCAGGGGUCCUAGGCUCGAGGCCGGCU
rnacentral:rRNA from 1 species